rnacentral:rRNA from 1 species
UACGUAGGGGGCAAGCGUUGUCCGGAAUCAUUGGGCGUAAAGCGCGUGUAGGCGGCUUGGUAAGUCCGCUCUGAAAGCCCGGGGCUCAACCCCGGGAGGCGGGUGGAUACUGUCAAGCUCGAGUCCGGAAGAGGCGAGUGGAAUUCCUGGUGUAGCGGUGAAAUGCGCAGAUAUCAGGAGGAACACCAAUGGCGAAGGCAGCUCGCUGGGACGUGACUGACGCUGAGACGCGAAAGCGUGGGGAGCAAACAGA